rnacentral:siRNA from 1 species
UCCUCGUCCUGGUCGACAAACCCU